rnacentral:rRNA from 1 species
UUGGUUAAGUUAGAAAGGGCGCACGGUGGAUGCCUUGGCACUAGGAGCCGAAGAAGGACGGGACUAACACCGAUAUGCUUUGGGGAGCUGUACGUAAGCGUUGAUCCAGAGAUUUCCGAAUGGGGGAACCCACUAUCUUUAGUCGGAUAGUAUCCUUACGUGAAUACAUAGCGUGAGGAAGGCAGACCCAGGGAACUGAAACAUCUAAGUACCUGGAGGAAGAGAAAGAAAAAUCGAUUUCCUGAGUAGCGGCGAGCGAAACGGAAAGAGCCCAAACCAAGAAGCUUGCUUCUUGGGGUUGUAGGACACUCUAUACGGAGUUACAAAAGAAAGUUAUAAAUGAAGCGGUCUGGAAAGGCCCGCCAAAGACGGUAACAGCCCGGUAGUUGAAAUGGCUUUCCCUCCAGAGUGGAUCCUGAGUACGGCGGAACACGUGAAAUUCCGUCGGAAUCCGGGAGGACCAUCUCCCAAGGCUAAAUACUCCCUAGUGACCGAUAGUGAACCAGUACCGUGAGGGAAAGGUGAAAAGCACCCCGGAAGGGGAGUGAAACAGUUCCUGAAACCGUGUGCCUACAAGUAGUUAGAGCCCGUUAAUGGGUGAUAGCGUGCCUUUUGUAGAAUGAACCGGCGAGUUACGAUUUGUUGCAAGGUUAAGCGGAAAAAGCGGAGCCGUAGCGAAAGCGAGUCUGAAUAGGGCGCAUAAGUAACAGGUCGUAGACCCGAAACCAGGUGAUCUACCCAUGUCCAGGAUGAAGGUAAGGUAAUACUUACUGGAGGUCCGAACCCACGCACGUUGAAAAGUGCGGGGAUGAGGUGUGGGUAGCGGAGAAAUUCCAAUCGAACUUGGAGAUAGCUGGUUCUCUCCGAAAUAGCUUUAGGGCUAGCCUCGAGGUAAAGAGUCAUGGAGGUAGAGCACUGUUUGGACUAGGGGCCCUUCUCGGGUUACCGAAUUCAGAUAAACUCCGAAUGCCAUGUACUUAUACUCGGGAGUCAGACUGCGAGUGAUAAGAUCCGUAGUCGAAAGGGAAACAGCCCAGACCACCAGUUAAGGUCCCCAAAUAUAUGUUAAGUGGAAAAGGAUGUGGGGUUGCUUAGACAACCAGGAUGUUGGCUUAGAAGCAGCCACCAUUGAAAGAGUGCGUAAUAGCUCACUGGUCGAGUGACCCCGCGCCGAAAAUGUACCGGGGCUAAACAUAUUACCGAAACUGUGGAUGAACCUCUUUAGAGGUUCGUGGUAGGAGAGCGUUCUAAGGGCGGUGAAGUCAGACCGGAAGGACUGGUGGAGCGCUUAGAAGUGAGAAUGCCGGUAUGAGUAGCGAAAGAAGGGUGAGAAUCCCUUCCACCGAAUAUCUAAGGUUUCCUGAGGAAGGCUCGUCCGCUCAGGGUUAGUCGGGACCUAAGCCGAGGCCGAUAGGCGUAGGCGAUGGACAACAGGUAGAGAUUCCUGUACCAGUGCUAAUUGUUUAACCGAUGGGGUGACACAGAAGGAUAGGGAAUCGCACGAAUGGAAAUGUGCGUCCAAGCAGUGAGUGUGAGAAGUAGGCAAAUCCGCUUCUCG